CGCCAUCUCCAUUCUCUGCUCCAUUCCUCCACUCGACGCCCAGCUUUCUGCAGAAGCUCCCAAGCGCAGAGCCCUUCUCCCCCAACGCGCAGGAGUUUCUUCUCCCAUGGCCAGCUCCCUGGCGCCCUCUCGCCCCUGCUCUCCCCUAGGUCGUCGGCCUCUGCCUUCCCAGCGCCCUUCUCGUGAUCUCCCCAAGCCGGCGCCUUCCCCCAGCGACAUCUUCUCCGCGCGGCAUGGCGACAGGCAAGCCCCUACGAAUCUUCACCAGCACACCGGGCUCCUCCCUCCUUGGUGCUUGGCCUCCAGGGAUGCACAACCCCUCCUCCCAUGGGCGCCAGCAGCAGGGAUCUCUUCCCUCUCUCCAUGGCACCUAGCUCCUUGAACGCCAUCCUCCUCCCUGCUCCAGCCACUUCUUCCACUAGCAUGCAGCCUCGUCUCCUCUCCCCAACCGACGCCCGAGCUCCCUCAACUGCCCAUGGUGCUCGGCCCGCGCUCUCCGCGUCGGCCUCCAGCCGGCUUUCCCCUGCGUCUUUUUCCCUGCGCACCAGCAGAUCGCCGGACCUUGCUCCAUCUAGAUUUCACGCCAUAUGCUCCUUCAUCGAUGCCAUGGCGAGAUCUGUCAACAGAGCAAUGCUACGCCUCGCCACGGACCUUGGGUUCGCACCAGCGAGCUCAACUGUAGGUUCAGCCAUGGCUCCUGCAGUGUCUAGACCAUGUGUUCCUCCCUCGCCUAGCCCCACAUCGGCUCGCCUCACCUUAGCCCGACUGGGCGCCGACACCCAGCGAGCUCCUCCUCCGCAAGAAGAUUGUGGCCUGGGAUGCUGAGCUCGCCUAGAUCACGUGCGCCCCUGCUUUUCCCCUCAUGGCGCGCCCUGCGCACCGUUGCCAACAUGUUCUACCUCGCUGUCCUCCCCACCUGAAUCCUAGCAGCAGCUCGUGCAUCAGUUCCCCCAUAUGUAGCCAUGGUGGUGCUCUACUCACCAUUCUAACCACAACAGCAAGCCCCAAGCCACUCUCCUCUUCGCUCAAUCUGCUCGACAAAAUGCCCCUCAGUGCACGCUGCUGCCCCCAUGUUGUGUCACCUGCGCGAGAGUUCGUCAAGAGCAGCCGCGUCGUCGAUCCGUGCAGGCACGACGUCUCCGCGUCUCGCUUCGCCGGAUUUGCGCAGCGCUUGCGCAUCGUCGUCAAAAUCCUCGCUAGAUGUUGUCGUUGCGCCUCGCGCGAUGCAUGAUUCGAUGAAGCACCUAAACCGUGGAGGCAUGCGCGACACGAGUCGGCCAGGUUGUUCGCUUUAGAAAAAUUGUGAUAUCGUUUUAUUUACAAUUCAGUCGAUGGCGUGAAUAUGGGCGUGAAAGUAUAAUUGUAUGAAUGGACGCGUGUAGAGAAGAAAAUGAAGUAGAAAAGAACUCGGAUAUUUUUAUAUCUUGGUAGGAAAAAUAUGCGAUGCGUUCUUUGAUGCGAAAAACUAAGUAACAAAAUGCGGAUUAUGUUUUGAGAAAUGUAUCGAUAUGUGUUUAUGUGAAAAGUAUAAUUGUUUUAUGCAA